rnacentral:tRNA from 1 species
GUGAGUGUAGCUCAGUCGGCAGAGCAUCUGAUUGUGGUUCAGAGGGUUGCGGGUUCAAUCCCCGUCACUCACCCCA